GUGUGACGACGACAGACCAUUACACGCUAGUUUCACAAUAGUUUUCUGCAGAAUUCGAUGUUUAAAUUAUAAAAUUGAACUCGUUAAAGGGUGGCGUGAAUCGUCGUCAAUCAAUAUUGUAGGUGAGGAAUUGGUUUUUAAAACAACGCUUAAACAAAGAGAAAUUCGUUGCAAAUUCAGAAGACAAUAUGACAAAUAUUAGUGAAUACGUCGUCAAUGGUACGGGCAGUCGUUGGACAGUAGGAACUAUUAUUUUAGUUCAAUUAAUAGUGUUCAAUGAAACUGGAGGACAAGCAGCAAUGAUAGGAUUCGGAUUGGCUGCUUUCUACGCAGUGCUUGCUGGUUUAUGUAAAUCGGGUACCAAAGCAGUGCAAAUCUCGUACAUCCGCACUACGCAUCGCGUGGAUUUUUUUUGUUUAUUCCUUGCGAAGUGGAUGGACAUAUUGGCAUUGUUUUCAGCAUGUGCCAUUGUCGUGAGAACACUUAGUUCUUCGUUGGAUGCGAUGACCGGCGGCGUUGCACGAAUGUACAUAUUAGGACGCAACUCGGCUGCCAAUGAACCGUGGCCUGACGUGAUUGGAGUAGUAGUUAUUUUCAUACUAACUGGAAUGUUUAUGCUUGGAUUAGAAAACUCACGUAUUUUUGGAGUUCUCAUGACAGCAGCAGUAGUGUCUACAACUGUGGUUAUCCUUGUCGUUACGGGAUUCCGAGGAAGUAUGACUCAAUUCCGUUCGCAACCUAUACUACCAAAGGGACUUGUUGGGUUAUUAUCCGGAUCUGCUAUAGCUACAUUUUCGUUUUCCAAUGAUUCGUUAAAUGGCAAUUUCAUUCAACGUUCUUUGGGGUUACUGACAAUGCUAUUGGUUCUACUGUCAAGUGAACUUCUUUGUGGUUGUUUCACAACAUUAACAAAUUUCAGUGUCAACCACGUAUAUGAAGCUGUGCCACUGCUAUACAUCUUAGAAAUGAAAGAUUUCCACAAGCUUAUACCAGCAGUGGCCUGUCUGCUGGUGUUAAUCUGUUCUAGUGCCCUACUUGAGCUGUUUCCUGAGAUGUACACCCAAAUUGCUCAAUUGACUAAAUCUGAGUGGAGAAUUUUAGCAAAACAAAUCGGUUAUGAAAGCAGAGACAGUGGAAACCCUACUUUAACCAUUUUUACAGGAGGAAGUUUAUGUGCAAUGUUGGCCUUCGCUUGUCCUUUAGAAAAUCUUACUUACAUAUUAGCGGCCAGUCACAUCUUUGCUACAAUGUUGCGAUCAUUCCACUUUCUUUAUCAUCCGCUUCGUCCUCAUUACCUGGAGCAACAGAAUGAUUCUUCCAAUCUGGUUUAUAGUCGCCUCAGCAACGGAACAAAUUACAAAUCUGGAAAAUGCAGUAAAUCACUAAAAACACAUAUUUGGUGCCUUCGAAAAUACACCAACAUUUGUUCUAGUUCCUCCAAUGCCGUCGCGCAUCGCAUAUUUACUACAAAUCGUGAGUCGUCACUUUCUCGACCCCUAAGUAACGAAGAAAACGAACGAGAAUGGUUAUUGCUUGGCGAACCUUCGUCACCAAAGGAUCCUCAUAGCAACGCGCCAUGCAUUGUAGAAUCUUCCGUUUUAUCAGAUCAAAUCUCCGACAUCGAAUGCAUUACUUUAGCCAAGCCCGAAAACAUGGAUACCGAAGACAGCUCAACUGAUAUUGAUGCUAUCGUGGACGAAUACAAGCAAAAAGUUAAAGUAUCAACGGCAGGCCCUUUGGAUAGAGAUUCAACACGCGUGCCAACGGCAAAUAGUUGGUAUUUAGCAAUAAUUUUCAUUGUUAUGAUCGUCCUGGGAGGUGUAAUAACGGCGGCAGGGCUUAUACUUUGGGAAAAAAUAGUCAUUAUUGUUGGAUUAAAUGUCACUUUAAUUUCAGGAAUCGUCCUUUGGCUGUUUCCCAGAUACAGUCAAGCUAAUACAGCGCGGCCAGGCUUGAUCACUUGCAUACUAACAUUCAACGCAUCAUGUGUACUGUUUGCAUCAUCUGUAACUUUAUCGUGGCCCGCGUUGUUGCUUUGGUUUUUAGUGGGAUUUUUGUUAUUUAUUCGCUGUGAUACGUGGUGCAGUUUAUGCUUGGAAACUCCGAAUAUAAGGCUUCAUGGUGGAGUUACUGGACUAUCCGCAACGUCGACAACCACAAUUCUUACAUCUCGUCCAUCGCAAGGAUCAUUCGGGCAAUCGCAAUUAGUUUGCCAAAGUUGACAAUUAGACUCAACAGAUAGUGAACUUUUUGAGGAUGAAGAAACGGUAGAAGAUUUCACUGACUGAGUAUCGCUAAAAGCAAUGAUUAAGUAUACUUACUGAUUACUGGAAAAACUGAUAGGCAAUAGUAAUUUUAUGUGAGAGAAGCUACUUAACACUUUCCAUCCAUUUUGGCUGUAAAAUCCAUUAACUGUUAUCAUAGCAAAAGCAAUUAUUCCAUUGCGGAUUUAUUCAUGCAUAAAAUGCCGCGUUGUAAAACAGUGCAGUUCUUUGCAAUAUAAAAAACAUACAAUUACAAAUACAAAUCUAAUCAAGAUAAUUAGAAAUUAUGACAUCUUGCUCAUUGAGAAUUUGCUUAAAAGUCUCUGGACCGAGCAAUCUUGACGAUAAGUUUCAAUACACAAUUUUUAUUCAAUUCGACGAAAAUGUAACAAACGUUUCUGAAAAAGAAACGAUCAAUACAUUUUAAGCCUUAAACAUGCGGCCUUGGAUGUAUGUAAAUAAAUUACACAGAAACCAUUUCUGGCUUAUUGAAUCCUAUCCAUAAUAACUUGCUAUUUAUUGAAACAAAUAUUUUGACACUCAACAGAUUAAUAAAUUAAUUAUCUCUAAGUGCUAAAUAUAUAUAUUUCUGUCUUAAUAGAAAUUCAAAACACCCUAAGGGGAUUAUUUACUUCAACACCAAAUAAUACAACCCAAUGCCUUCACCUGCAGAAAAAUAAUACUCCUCCAUCAUUUUUCCUCUCAUGAAAUGCAGAACAUUUUUUGAAAUAAAUUUAAUGCGUUUUAAAACGCUUCUUAACUUUUACCAACCUUAUCUUGAUAUUGCUUUGCAGCGGAACUUUUCUGUACUGUAUAUACAACUGUGACCAAACACAAAAUAUUAUUAUUCAUCGUAACAAAAUAAAAUAUUUUUGUUCAUCGUAACAUUCUUAGUACUCUGAAAUAAAAUAAAGCGUAAAAAUGAUAAAUUUGUCGAUGAAAAUCUCAAUCUACACCCUUUUAUUCCAAAAGCUUAAUUAUUCAUUGCCAGACAAUUUAAUAAAUUAUUUACAAUUCGAUAUAAAAAGUAGAUCCAUGCCAAACGCUAUAUUUUGCUAUAUUUGUUUUUUGAAAAACGCAAUAGAAAUCAUGAUCCUUCAACAGGUAUGAAAACAUGUUCGCCAUUGCACGCAUACCCAUCGAAAGGAUGUAUUCUUGCAAUAGUAUGUAUAAUACCGGUAUGGAGUAAAUGCUAUACGAUAUUUCGCGCAUGCUCGUGUCUACUGAAAGAAAAUUCUCGGUCAGUUUAUAGAGAAUACCGCUGCUAGCAGAAAACAGUCAAGUGAAGAGAAAGAGAACAUAAGGAAGAAAAUUGAUAAAAAGAGAUUAUUGACAAAGCAAUGCUGGAUGUGUUUGAUAUUCAGGGUGAGGAUAAAGUUUACUUUUUUUAGUAGUUUAGUUUGAGAACAAGAGUUAAUCAUCUUAAAUUAUUGUCUUUGGCUACACGGACACCCGAGACAGAGUAUCAGUUCAGUUCAUCAAUAAGCCUAGUAGUGUGCCUCAUCGAAGAGGAGGAAUACCUCUUCGAGAAAAUACGACAUUACUACAGUCUUAUGUAUGGGUAAAAGUGGCACUAUCCGUGAAAGUUUUUCGAUCGAUGUUCAACCCAGUUAACAUGAACGGUUAACUGUACUUGAACAACACAGCAAUCGUAAUUCAUAGUUUGAAAUGAGGUCAUUAGUAGUUCGGAAAUGUGUAUGCAAUGGACCUCAUCGCGAACGAAAGCCUGCAUCUCUGAUGGCCACGAAGGAAACCCUAGUUCUCUAAAGAGAAAACCGGAAAUCUUUCAAAGACGACCGCAAAGAAGCCAUACAGUUGCGCUAAUACCAGAGCGGUUUCAAGUUCUAUGCAAUGCAAACACGUUACACGAAUUGAAAAAGGUAUUAGCUAUACAGGGUAGGUUCUUAAAUCGGAUUCAUUCAUUUCCUGCAUCCAUUCCGCAAAGGUCAUGUGGUGUAAACGAAUCACUAGCCACCCUGCCGUACGUAUAUCGGUUGAGCAAAGCAUUUACUAUACCUAACAAUGGGCAACCCUAUCCUACCAACGUGCUCGCUAAAUCUAUUGACACUCUAAGGAAACCGCUGUACAGUGCACGUGUUCCGAACCAUAUUUCUCCAACGGCAAAACUACCUCGUUUCCAAACAACACAGCGACAGUCGCAAAAGUGCUUUCUUAAUAUAGACAUUGAUCGACACCAGGAGUGCCAGUGGAUUUCAAUCAACAAAACGUCUACUUUGUCACUUCGACCACUCCAAAACUUACUAGAUUCAUUCAGCAAGGACAACAUUCACAAACAUAUUCAAUAUCUACGUAAAUGCCAUCUUCAAACAGAGAUCGUGAAAAAGCGGUUUCAAUUAAAACAAACCCUUCAUAUAGCGGAUAGCAAUGAUCACUUACAUCAUAUACUUCCUGCCAGCUUCUGCGUAGAAGAAUUGCACAAUUUGGAUCAUAACCAGAGAAAUAGUAUCAACCGUAUUUCACCAGAUGCACUGAGUGGAGAAAAUCAAGAAAAGUUGGGCAACCUCCUCGACAGUCUGGAGUGGUUAAGUUCAUCCGAUUCAUUCGAUUCAAAAGCAACUGAAUAUCCGAAAAUUGUCCUUACAGACUAUUCAAAAAUUGGAAUUGACAACGCUGUUCAAAUAAGUGAAGUGAAGUGGAAACGCGAUUUCCUUAAGGAAAGUAGCAAGUGUAAACCGAACGUGCAAAAAUCUGUGGAACUUGACACCAAAGAUACCAUGUUCUGCAAAUAUGUGCUAACACAGGAUAUAAUAGCAAACAAUAUUUUCUUAGAAGUCCCAUUGUUGAAAGAUCUUAAACAUUCAAGUGCAUAAUAAAUCCAUGCUGACAUUGUAGUGAAGCAAGAAAAGUGUAAAUGUACACCACAUGAAACAGUAUAUUCAAGAUUAUCAUACAAUAUCUUUAUUAGUCCAUUUUAUCAGCAAACAAAGCAUCAGAGUUUAGUUUCCUUUUUAUUAAAAAAAAAAGAACUAUAACAUUCUCAUAGUUAUAAGAUAUUCGCUAAUUUCAAAAAGGCUGUUUGACAAAGCCGUAGUUUUAGUGAAUACUCCUGAUGAAAUCACAAUAGUAUGGUUUCAAGUAUGGAUAUAGAACCAAACAGACAGACCUGUGAUAGCCGUGUAAUAUUGUCUCAAAGUGCGGUCAGCCAAAAAUCAAUUGAUCUGAAUUUAUCACCAAAAUCAAAUGAGUCUGCUGGGGACGGUGAGACGGAUUCGCCUGAGUUAAACGUCUUGACAUCCAGCGACCAACAUAACCAAGUGGUUGUAAGCCGCAGCAGCAAUCUUUCGACCCUUACCACAACAUUAAUUGCGGUUCCGCCAGCAGUGAGUACGAUCGACAACGUAACUGCUGGUAAAAGUAAAGAUACGGACACAGAUCUAGCGAAGAGAGCCAUGAAAUUGGAUCUGAUAGAUACAUCCAGUAAUCCAGUAGGGUCGACCAGUGCUACGUCCUCAUGUGCAAGUGCUGCUAGCACAACACAAUCCACAGCAGCGACGAGUUCAACAACUGCCAUUAUUAUGAAGCAUCGUAGGCUAAAAGAGCGAACUUUUAGCGAAGAAAUUGGCUCACCGAAAUCACCUGCAGCUACAUCAGAAGUGGUCGACGAUCGCAAAGCUCUGCGGGACGCGCUAUACCAGGGAAUCUUCCAUCGUCAUCGACGCACUAUUUUUGCUGUUGGCAGCUUUUUACGCAUGCUAAAAAGUAGGAACUCAUCAUACAACACGAUUCGCAGUUCUUCAGAAGGUGAAGAUGAUACCCGAUAAUGGCGGAUCGAAUUAUAAAGAAGACCUUCGUGAAUUCAACUAGUACCCAUCAAACGGUUUCACCUGCACUCAGCAUCCCACCGACAAAAUUGGUGUCCUCAAUCAUUGAAAGCUAAUAUAAACCCUGUGUUGACACAUGAAACAUUUGCUCAUAAUUUAUGAGUGGACAACAUUAGACAUCAUAGAUACGCGAGCCUUUUGUUAAUCGCUAGGGAAAAUCCAUCAACGCAUGUCACGUGAUGUUUCUGGUACUUAAAGGCCUAUAAAAAGCAUAUUGUCAAAGCAACCAUGUUCAUAAUGUUACUUGUUAUAGACCAGUGUUCGGAAGUUUAGGGUUUAAUAGCAUAAAGCUUCUUAUCUUUGAAUAAAGGACCAUGAAAAAACAGUAGCUUUUCCAAUCUGUGCAAAGUCACUGCACAGAUUUUUUUUUAUUUUUUAGUUGGGUUAGAGACUAAUGGAAACCAACACCGAGCUUAGUUUAGUUAUUCUGUAUCAAUCACUACCACAUGUAUUUGUAAGAAUAAAUAAUCUAGAAAACUAUAUACAACAUGGUUGAUGGAGGCUUUAUUUAGAAACUGAUCGUUAAGUAAUCAAUAAGCUGUAAUACUCUUUCAGAAACCAUUUUAAUUCUGACUUUCAUGUUGUGCGCCAGAACAAAAUGACCAAUUCUAAAAACCAGUGAUAUACACGAAUCGGGUGCAUUUUACAUUGUUUCUUCAAUUACCACUCCAGCUGGAAACUAAGAGUAAUGUGAAACAUAAAAUAUCUUGUUGAGCUUUACAAAAUUCAAAUCCUGCGUUGCGAAUAGCAAAACUCUAUCUACAAUUAGACCGACACAAUUAUGUUUGUUUUAUUUUGGAUAUUUCUGGAAACUCUGGUCUUUUGUAAAUGACUAGACAUUUUUAAACAUAUUUUGAUCUCUUCGCUCCUAAAUAUUCAUUUCUGGCACCGCGUAAGAAGUUACAUGAAUGUAAGUAGUUAAAAAAGAUAGACGUAAAGAAAGUGAGAGGAAAAGAGUGUAAGAGGAUAGCGAAGGCACGAAAAGACAUAAAGCUAUGUGAACAGAACAAAAUUAAGAAAAACAAGGCGAGACGUAACAUAUUCGAGGAACUACUUACUGCCAAACAAAUACAAUCAGCACGAUGAGAGAAGUUAACAGUUUCAAAUGGAAAACACAAUGUUAGAAUUAUUGAGCAAAACGAAAUUGUUCAAAAUAUGUAUUAACGCUAAACUCACUGAGCGUAUAAACACCCCGAAUAUUUUGUAGCAAUGUUAAUUUAACGAAAACGGCAACAAAAAGGCUUAUAACACAUACAACUAUAUUAGCAUUGUUAUGUUGCAUCUGAUGAAAAUAUUUGUUUUGGACGAGACCAACAGCCACAGUCCAUGCUGAAUCCGCCUAUACCUCCGAGUAACUGUUGGUGACGUGUUAUCACAGAUACUAUAGUAUAAUGACCUACCGCACUAGAAUGUAGCAUACGGAGAGCAAAAAUUAGCAAUCAGAAUGAAAUACGACAAAUUUCUUAAAUAAUCUUUGUAACUCGUUUUAAUCUUAAUUGUGACACGUCAUCUGCAGGUUUCGGUUUAUCGUAAAAAUGAGUUUAAAAUUGAAUGGCAGUGCCCAUAACUUUUAAAGCCAUUUUCGCUUUGAACACAGAAAUUGGGGGAUUGGAGGGAAACUUUCCUUAUCAUAUACUUCUACACGGAAAUCGAAGAAGUUAAAAAAAAUCUGAUAAGCGAGGAAAAGACACCCAAGUUUUGUCAGGAGAUUCACUAUAUGCAUAUUGUUAAAAUUAACUAGUUAAACAUGUUUUUAAAUAAGUGACUCGUUAUUUCUGCAUUCAAAAUAGAACAGGUAGGUAAUGCAACAAAAUACGCCUGGGCGUUUGUACACACUUGUGCUAGACUGAAACAUCAUUCACGACGUGCAUUUAGUGAAUUUUCUCGAUGAGGUUAUACGAAUUAUGAAUAUUUGUGUAUGUUUGAGAAUGUGUGUAACAUGUGGAAACCCAUUGUAAAAUACAUCCUCAUAGAUAGUUCCACAGAAACGCUCACAUUAGAGAUCAAUAAAUAACAGGUUGAGUUUGAUCAACA